CUGAGGCCGAAAUCAAGGGUUGGACGCUCAACCGACUGAGCCACCCAGGCACCCCAGUAAAUUUGUUCUUAGUUUAUUUUUUUAAUGAUAUUUUUCUUUCCUUUGUGAUGUGAACAUAGAGCUCUUUCCAAAGCACAUCCCAUACGCUCAUGCUGUGAAAUAUCUUGCGGUAAGCACUUACAGGACAAGACAUCUGUACAGAUACUGAUUUAUAACAACUCCAAGCUACACUAAAUGGGGAAAAAUGUGAACAGCAUAUGAUCAGUAGAAUCAUCUUACUAGGCAUUGGGGCCCGAGUCAAGCUUAAGACAAAAUGGCAUCUAGUCCAGAUUGCUCUUAAUUCCCUUAGCAAGUUGUCACAUUGGAGCCCCACAUGCUCUUUUGUAACCACACCUACUGUCCCUCAGCAUUGGAGCCCAUCACCAAUGGGCUUGAAUUUAGGGACUUCCUUGCCUUGAAUUUAGGGACUUCCAGGAAAAGUGUUUCUCUAAACACUCGAAUCACAUAAGGGAGCUGAAAGCUUACCCCACACCCUCCCUUAUACUGCUUCUUGGGCAUAUGGUCCCUCAGUGGGAUGGCCAACCCCGGCACAAAUAGUUAUAUUCACAGAAGUUAAACACUUCCAUGAUGCGACUACCCUGUGUAAAUUCGCUGGGGGGCGGAGAGGGGUGGGCAGAGAAGAGCAUGGGUGGAUAUGCCAGAUCUUGAAGGAUACAGUUAAACUAGUACAGUGACUACAUCUGGAGACAAUAGUUAUUGUGUCAUUUGUAGACUUUGUGUACUAUAAAAAAAUGUUUUUGAAAAGUAAUGUAAGAAUUUCAAAGUCAAUAAUAAAAGGCCAUUCUAGAUACUGGGCCCUCCCAGGGAAUCCCCCCUGGGUCUGGUUUCGUCCCACAGGGAUGACGCUGGAAGCGUGGGCACCAGCCACUUAGACUUCGGUGAGACGUAAAAACCGUGCUGAAUUUGCUGUUGCCGUCACGGCCUUCUGUGAAAGUACAUGGCAAGAAGCGCUCCUCUCCCACAACCCGUACCCUCCAGAGUGCGCUGCGGGUAAGCAGCAGACCUCUGCCGCAGCAGGGCCAGGGGUCUGGAGGGAAAGGUGCUCCGCUGCCACCUCGUGUGACUUGCCGAGUUUGCGUUUCUCCCCACAGUUGUCGAGCGCCUGACACUCGGGUGGGCCCAGGACAGCUCUGCCCUUUCUCUUCCUGCUAACGACUCGACUGGAGCCGCCUCUUUCACGGGUGCUGCCCCUCUGAUGGGGUCAACACACAGAGGGCCGUCAGCCCAGGUAACAGGACCAGCCCCAGUCACGUCUGAAUGUUGUCCCCUUGUCCAUCCUUAAACAUAGUAGCGUUGUUGUUGUUAGAUCCCGUGGGCCUGUCCCCUGAGCCUUCAGGGUUAUAGUUGGAAUCCUCAGAGAUGGGUGGCGGUGGGGUGGCCAGGGACUUCAAUAGAGCUCCCUAUCUCUGGUCACUGGACGCUGAAAUCUUCCUUCCAACAUGGUGUCUAUUGUGGCCUGAAAGAAAGAUGCUUUUGUGGAGGCGAGGAAAUCUGGUUAACUUUUCAUCUCUCUUCAGUGCCAGGCCAUCAGGGAAGUGCUCCUGGAAGUCCAGAGAAACACAGCAACACACUCUCCUCCACACAGAGCCCCUUUCACCCCAAGGCACUUGUCAGACUAUGUAUGGGGAUUACCUCACCUCCCUCUUUGGGGUGGAAGGCGACAGCUGUCCACUUCCCAGAUGCUUUGCAUAUCCAUUUGAGAGGAAGUGAGGGGGCGUUGGGGGUGAUGGGGUGUAUUAUCUAAGCUGGACCCAGGCCAGUGUGAAUUGUGGAACCAACGAGUGCACGGCCCCUUGCCCUCGGCUUUCCAGCUCACCAGGAAGACGGCGACAAACCAUUAGGAGGCUGAGCACAGGAGGAAGGAAAGGACAGGCUGUGAGGGUUAGUGGCCUCCUUGGAGCUGGGGCCAGAGUGACCUUACAGUGGAGAAAUUGAAGUGGGCAGGGUCGCGUUAUCAGGCGCCUUGGAGGUCAUGGUGUGUUUUAGAAGGAAUUGCCUUCCAAGUGAGAGUGUUAGUUAAUUGUCGUGAACUUUGAAGGGACAGGUGUGCAACCAUUCCCAACAGGAUUCAUCUUGGGUGAGAGCAGAUCCACUGUGGCCCUUAUUUGCCACUGGCCGACUGAAUGAUUUUCCUGUAGCCAGACUGGCCCCCUCCUGGGGUGUCUCUCAGGAAAGUCAGGCAUGCCAAGGGACAGACCUCCAAGCUGAUUUCCCCAGCACCUCACCAGAUUUAGCCAAAAGCCUCACUGAGAAUUCACUGAGAAAGAUUUUGGCGCUCUCCUUGUCUAAGCCCUCUCUUCCUCUUCCUCCAUUUUACUGAUGAGGAUGCCACAGCCCAGGGAGACAUGGGCUGGGACAAGGACCUGGAUCACCUGACCAGUCACAUGCCAUCCCUGUCCUGCUUGCGUGGGCACUCCCCCUGUCCACCGGCAUCCUGUGUGUCUGGGCGUGCCCUUUUUAUAGAGAGCAGUGAGAUGUGAGAGAAUGUCCCCCUGGGUGGCUGGGCCAGGCCAGACCCCACUGCCGGAGAGAUCUCAAGGCCAGACUCGGCUCUGUCUCCACAGUGAGGCCUUGCCUGGUUGUCCCCUCAUGGCUGCAUGUUAGCUUACCUUCAGCGCUGAGGUGAAGAGUGAAAAGCUUGUAGGGCAAAGGUUUCUGUUUCACUAAUGGAUCAUAAAAGUAGCCUAUGUUCAUGGGAAAUAUAAACCACAAAAAUAAUAUAAAGUCAGACAGAAGCCCCAGUUCCCAUUUCUGAUCUGAAGGCAUUUGAAGGGGCUAGGCCAAGUUUUACCUGCUUUACGGGUAUUUGUUUUACUGAAUUAUCGCAGCACUGGAACAGGAACCAUUCUCGUUUUACAGAUGAGAAGACCAAGGCACAGAGAUGAGUGUUCCUGAGCUCACACAGUGAUGCCCCCCUUGGCGGAAGCAGAUUUCAAACUCAGGCUGUUCAACCCCCGCGCUGGGCUCUUAAAUCACUUGACUUCUUUGACCUGCUGUUUCCUCCUCAGCAAAACCAGCCUGAUGGGGAAAACACAUGAAGUGUGCCUCAGAGCUGGGCUGGAAGAGAUGCCUACGAGCGAGAUGUGUUGUUUUCACACAACAAAAAGCUAUACAGCAACGAAAAGGGACAAAUUGCAGCUACAGGUGCAGCAGCAGAGGAAGCAUAUGACUCCCGUGCAUGGUGAAGACAGCAAGAGCCUGCAAAUACGGAGUCCUGUAAUGCAAACCACGAGUGCCUCUGAGCUGUGGUAGGCGCACUCCAAAUCGCAAAUCCGCAAGGCAUUGCACAUCUGGAUGGAGCACGGGCCUUGGAAAAAUUGUGCCUCUUGGUAUCCAUGGUGUCUGAAGCAAAGCAAAACAGUAUGUGAAGGGUGGGAUAUGGAAACACGGUGGCUGGAGCCCCUUAUUAAGGGGUGUCGAAUGUCACUGACAGCCGCUGCCCUUCUACUGCAUGAAGGUAAUAAAUGUUAACAGGGACUCUCACGAGUUCUCUCAUCACUUGGGUCUCCCCCAGCUGUCUUCCAUCAAGUCUUAAGUUGUGAAUCCUCCUGGCAGUUGGGAGGGAAUACAGUAAAUUCAGUCGAUAUGGUAGAAUAGGCCUGUACACACAGUAGCCCCUGGGUUCCAAGGCCCCCUCCAAAGCUGCCCCCACCCCAAGGCUGCCCUCAUGUUCACUUGAAGUCUAAAGAACAGAAGCCUUCCAAGCCUCUUUUUUUGGUAUUGGAAACCUACCUAUGCCAACAUGUCAGGUUCUUGGUGACUGUCAGGAGCCCCCGCCUAGGAGAGGUAGUGGGAAGCCACAGUUCUCCCCCUCCGAGCUGGCUACCGGGAGGUGUGCUGCUGGGAAAGCAAAUCUCAGACCCCACGUGCGACAGUGACUAGGAAGCACGUGAAAAAGACUCCUGCCACCGAAAGCUUGGCAAAGCGUCUGUUCGCUCUCUGCAGAUGCACGUCCAUGGGGAACAGGAGGAUGGGUGGCAGGGGAGAGCAGAAUCCCACGGGAAUCUGCUGCUAAGGGUCUGCGGGUGGGGACGGGGGCAGUGAACUCCCUAUAGGAGUUCCAGACUCAAACCUUCUGCAGAUCUUAGGUGGUUGGGCCUGCCAAGUUCUCAUGCCCCAAGUCUACUGGGGACAGAGGUACCUAGAUAACAUUUCUGGCCACUCACAUAUUUGGACUGGAUUCAUUUCACCAACAACGAAGUUAUAAUGACAGGGAGUAGAGAUUCGUUCCCGGAGGUUGUGCUCACUUUGGUCCGUGUGCUGGCAGAGGGGAAGGGGAGCGGAGAUACUCGACACAAGUUCCUUACCAGCCCUGGGCCGGCCCCGGCCCCAGGGAAUCCCAGCAACCCCAAAUAAGGGAAAUGAAGAACCUCAAGCUUCUUUAGGCAGCGAACCCCACAGGGGCCACCAGCCUUUGCUGUGGGAAGAGGGCAUUAGCUGUCCCCUUGAACCCCACUUGCUCGGGGAAGCUGUUGAGGCCUGAAGGGAGCUUCAGGUCACCUCACAUUCCCCAGAAGGCUGAGUUUACAUGGUGUGGGGAACCCAGGGUGGCUGCCACCUUCCCCUCCCACUGGGGGCUCCGUGAGCCUCAGAGGCACCAGCAUCCAGAAGCUCUCCAAACCCCAUACUUCAGGGAUUUUUAUGGAGGCCUUAUCAUGGGGAUGAACCCAGGGGAUGGGUGGGGGGAAGUGCUGAACAUCCCAGGCUUCUGACCAUGCUUGGUCUUUCAGGUCACCAACCCCUGUGCUGAAGGUAGCCAGGAAGGAGCCUGCCAAGAGUCACUUCAUUAGAGCAAAAGAUAUUCCCAUCACCCAGGAAACUCCAAGGGAUUUGGGAGCUCUGUGUCAGGAAGCAAGGGCAAACAAGAGAUGCUCCUAGCACCUUAACAGAGUAGGAAAUUACAAAGGUUUUAGGAGUUCUGGCCAGGAGCUGGGUUCAAACACCAAAAUAUAUAGUUCUUCUGCCAUCAUAACAUCCCAUUGUAACAAGGAGUUCAUGGCUGUGCAAAAUCCCCUGGGGAGCCCGGCUGCAAUUUUCUAGGUGCACAGACCUUUAAAAAAUGAAGUCGAUUUAAAAUCCAUGCUAAUACAGUAGCAGGAAGCUUCUAGCAGUCUGUGGCUAUUUAAAUUACAUUUCAUUUAAUUUAAAUUUAAAGGAAAAUUCAAUUCUUUUGUUGUACUAGCCACUUUUCAAGCGCUCUGUAGCUGGCUAAUGACCACCAUAUUGGUCAGUGCAGAUAAAGAAAAUUUUAAUUGGACAAUGCUGUUUUAAAUGCCUUCACUAAAACAAUAAGACUUUAUCACCAUCAAAGAAAAAAUAGUUUCAAUGUAGUAUAAUCGUGUUUUUAAGAACAGAUUUGAACAGGCUUCCCAAAUGUAAUUGUGCAUAAGAAUCAUCUAGGGAAUCUUGUAAAAAUUCACGUUCUGAUUCCGCAGGUCUAGGGUGAGGCCCUAGAUUCUGCAUUUCUAGUAAGCCCACAGGUCGUGCUAAUGCUGCUGGUCUUUGGACCAUCCUUUUGGGCAGUGAGGGAUCACUGGAUUAAUUAAAAAACACCCAGGGUGCAUUUUAGUGAUGAACCUUGGGAAUGGGAAGCAAGUUCGAAAUUGCAUCAUGAGUGAUGAGCGUCAUCUUUCACUCCUGGCCAGAUACCUUGGCCGCUGUCGACUUCAUUCAGACAGUAUGUCUCAAGCCUAAAUUUCAGGCCUGUUGUUAGGCCCCGCCCAAAGGCCCGUUUCCCAGAGUGAUAGGUCCUGGCGUCAGGAACAGCUUCCCUCUUAGGGCCCCAUCAGGCCAAAAGGCCCCGGCUCCCCCGGGAAUCAAGGCGACUUGCCAUGACAGCUGUCGGGGACAGCUCCUCUCAGAACAGUGAACUGGAUGCCUUGUCUCAGCCUCCCCUUUAUUUCUUGUCUUUUUCUCAAAUGUAAAAAUAGAGAAGUUCAAAGCCCCCAUAUUCCCACCACCCCAAAUUACCACCGUUACAAUUUGUCACAUAUUCCUUCCAGUGCGUCCCGCGUAUGUUGUUGAUUCAGUGGCCUGAGAUGAACAUAGCCGCCGAGUGUUCACACCUGGUGUGGUGCUGGCCCUGUGACUUACCUAACUACGGGAUGUGGCGGAGGUGAUGCUGUGCCAGCUCUGAGGCAAAGUCUUGAGGAAGCCUGACAGUUUCUGGGUUUUCACUGAUGGAAGCUCUUUGUGCCCGGCCACUCUGCUGGAGUGAUCACGUUGGCGACUGCGUGGAGAGACAGCCGGACGAGGACUGACCAGGAGGCCCAGCCUACGCGGAAAAGCAAGGCCUUGGCUUGCAGCUGAGUGAGGCUACCCAGGUGGCUCCCAGCAAGACCAGCCAAGGGACUGCCCCAGAGAACCCGGCCAAGGUGGAAGAACCAGGAGCAAAUAAAACGGCAGACCUUCCCAGCACCUCCUUCCCAGCAGAAACCACGUUUGGUGGAGACCAUACCCUCUGGUGGCAUCUACCCUUCUUCUCUGUGGGAUCACAAGCAGGUGAGAGCACUUUGGGGCAGAAGGAGCCAAGCGGCCAGAGGUUACCCCCUUCCCUCUAGGGCUUACCAUGGUGGGCUUGAACCCUGGCUCUACCGCUUACCAGCCCUCUGAACUCAGGCCAUAAAGUGGGCCUCCCUGAGCCUUCCCAUUUACAGAAACAGGAAUUACGAUAGUGAUAAGCCCCUCCUAGAGCUUUGGUGGGGAUCCCCAGAAACUGGAUGGACUGUGCUUAGGGUAGGACCCGGCACCCACGGGUGUUGUCAUGGUGACUGUUCUUGCCCUGUUUCAUCAUCCUCACGGACAUCAUCCGGGUUGGCCACCCUCUAGGGGAUCUGUGUGCCUGCCUUCACAGAGGGCUCCAGAAGGGGCUUCACGAAGAGGAGAAAGGAAGAAAUCCUCACCAGGGAGGGAGGUGGAGGUUCCCAGAAGUGCAGGGAGGAGGGAGGAGCCCACUGGACUGUAAGCCCUGAGAGAGCAAGGCCUGCAUCCAUUUCUUCCCUGCUGUGUCCCCAGCACUGAGGACAGUGCCUGGCACAGGUUUGGUGCUCAGAGCACAUUUUUUUCAAUGAACGCAUGGACUUUUGAGCGGAUCACUGCGUCCCUGGAAUGUGAACCUGCCCUGGGCUUCUGGCUGGAGAUAAUUGAGUGCUGAAUUGUUGACUGGUUGGUGAUACAGGACUCAGCCUUCAAAUUCCUGUGCCUGGAAUUUGAUCAUGGAAAUACAGAGAGCAGGGCAAUUAGCAGUAAGGGCUCAGGAAGCAGAAGUGAGAAAUGGGGUGGAGUUGAUCCCUCCAAGAGCGAGGCAACCCGGGCACCCUGGGGGAGAGCGGCUCUCCAGCUCCCAGGCGCCCCUCCAUCUUCCCAGCUACUUAAGUGGUCAGAGGAGGGAAGUGAGAGGGAGGAGCAGGGUGCUCCCCCCCAUCCGAGAGACCCUCCACCACAGGGAGCUCAUUCCCCUUCAUCUGCAGGCCCCUCACUGAGCCCUGCUAUGCACUGGCCUUGGCACUUGGGUCUGGGGCAGAACCACAGCCCUUCAGAGUGGCCUCUGUGAUAGGUAGGAAUCCAGACAGGGCAAGAGGAGAGGGAGCACUUCUUGGAGGAGUCCAUGUCUACUGUCUGCAGUGGUUGCUGAAGGGUGGAACAAGUUGGCCAGGGAAAAGAACAGGCAAUGACUUUCGAGGCAGAAGGAACAACGUGGGCAAAGGCCCAGAGAUUGGAGAGGGCCUGGCCAGUUUGGGGAACAGCAGGACAUUCCAUGUGGCCAGACCACGAGUUGGGGUGGGGGGCGGUGAGGGAUGGGGCAAGAGGGGGCACCGGGUGGAAUCUCCCCUCCCGAGUCAGAGUCUGCCUGUGCUGGAGUAUCCAACCCAGCGCUGAGAGGGGCAGCUGCACUCGAGUGACCUGUCCUCGGAGCAGAGCCAAGUGCAGGCCUCAGGGUUCAGCUCUGCCACCGGCUGGUUGUGUGACCCAGCAGCUGGGAUGACUACCCCAUCUGCACAGUGAAGGGGCUGCCUUGGUGUUCUCUAAGGCCCUGUCCCUGGCUCAGAGGGUCCCUGGGUUGGGGGAGGGCACUGUGGGCUUCUGGACCUGGGGCAGCAGGAUGCAGGGAGGAUGGCCUUUGUCAGGAAGUGCCAUCCCAGGGGCCAGCGCCAUCCAGCGGGUGCUGCCAGCAUUCACUCCAGGUCCAAGGAUCAGGCUCAGAAGAGACACGUCCCAAUGGCUCCUGGCUGGGUGGCUUUGCUCUUCCCUGGGGAGACCCUGUCUACUUCCCCAACCACAGAGGAGGUCUGGGUUCCAUGGUGCCGGGCCCUGGGCUGCCUGGCUUUUCAAGGAUGGCUGACUCACGGCUUUGGCAGCCCUGGCUCAGCCUUUUCCCCCAGCUGAGGACCGAGGGGGAUUGAGCCUUUCUCUGGCAUCUUUCCCACCCCUAGCUGCCUGCCAGGUUCAGGCCUUUGCAGAUGGGGCGAGGGUCACAUCUUUAUCUGGGGCUUUGCUGUCUGGGUCCCAGGAGCCCUUUCCUGCACAAUUUCACCUGUGUUCCUCACAGAUGCACCUUCUAGACAGGGCUACUGCCCCACUUUGGUGUGGGAGGUGGGGCACUGAGGUUCCAGAAGGAGCAGGAACCCUGCCUAAUGAUACAUAGCUGGGCAGUGUCAGACUUGCAGCUGUGAGGUGUAGAGAGCAGUUAAGCUGCCGCCCACCCCACCCCCACCCCCGUUGUCACAGAGAGGGCACUGUGCCUGAGGACCCCACAUUGGAUCCCAUGCAACCUGCAAGGGAGGGUUUGGGCCACCUGAACUCCAGAGCUGCUUCCCAAGGGCAUAGUCAAGAAUGUUCCCUAAGGGCUAAGCCUUUCUCUCCUUGGGAUCCUGCCAGGCAGGAGUGGGGAAGUAGGGAGCACAUAGGUUAAAUGCAUGGCUUUUGGGGUCCACCAGCCUUGACUCUAAAUCCCCAAUUCUACCUCUUUCUCAGUGUAUAACUUGAGGAAGAUGCCUCGGUCCCAGGACAGAGAAUCACUGUUCCUCCCUCGCAGGGUAGGAGGAAGGGUAAGUGAAAUGAAAUAAUCUGUUCAUGCACUCACAGAAAUAUUCAGCGUCUACCUACAGUGCACCAGGGGCAAGAUAAAGGAAAGAAAUGAACAGAAGUUCCUUCACUGAACUUCCCAUCUAGCUGGGGAGACUGACAGAAAAAUGCAGAUGUGAUAAAGGAUGAGGCAGGCUGGAGGUGGGGAAGGUGGGGAAGGGCAGGUAGAGCCGGCAGAGCAGGCUCUCAGAGAAGGAGGCUGGCAAGAGCAUUCGAGGGGGAAGGAAUGGCAUCACAGAGUCCCCAGGUGGGCUGCCCAGCCAUUCAAAAGCCGGGGAUGGGGCAGAGCAGGUGAGAAAGCAGUCAGCCAUGGGGGGCGGUGGGGGGGGGGCUCAGCGAGGUGGGGAGGCUGUCCUCCCCUGUGACAGGUCUGCAGGAAGUUGGCCCUCACAGCCGUGCAAGGUCAGGGCCUGUGUGUACACAGGACGUGGCAACUGUGAGCCCACUUUCAACUGCCACAGUUUGAGCGUGGCCUUUCUCCUUUCCUGCCGCUACUCAACCUCUGCCUCAGGUCCUUGGGCCCCGAGGCCUCCCCCACGGUGGCCUGUGACCCCCCCACCGGGGGCACAGCACCCCCCAGCUGCCUGCCACCGCCUCCUACUUGGGGCGGGCCGUGUGUCUGCUCUGGCCGGUCUCGGGGGCUUCACAAAGGCUCCUUUCACCAGAGGGCAUCGUCGGGGGACUGGGCGGGGAUGUGGUGCCCUCCUGCCCGUGGGCAUAAAGACCCUCUUUCUCUUCUGCUGCACCAGCCUCUCGACUGGCGGGCGGAGGGGCCAGUGCGGGGAGAUUCUUGUCCUUCCCUUUUAAAGUAUGGGCGAGACUGGGGCCAGGCAGACAAUGGUGGUGAUUUACAGUCUGCUGGGCCCCAGGGCCGCCUGCCGGGGUGGCACUGAUCAGCCAGCAACGCUGGGAGCAGAGUUGCGCACUGCAGGAUCUAGGGGUGCCUGCCUGGGACCCCAUAGAGGGGGCCCUGACUCACCAGCAUAAAGUGAAAGGUCUGGGCUUAGAGUUUCAGAGCCCACACCCUCCCCCCACCAACUCUGCCUCAACUGGCCUGUUAGGGAGUCCUCCUGGCUAGCAUAUCCCUGGAUUUCCCACCACUAAGCCAUGUCAGGUGUCUCGCAGCUUUGACAUUCUGUGCUGGACAGACACCUGCCUUCAGAGGGAGCUGGGCAGGAAAUGGGGACCACAUGAGGGACCACACGGUGACCAUGAAAGCCCAGGGGGUGGGGAGGGGUCCUAGUCUGGAAGUGACUUGGAAAUGAGUUGGGGUGGGGCGUAUGGCUUUGCAGAUGGAGGGGAUAGGUGCAGAGGCCCAGAGGAAGGACAGGCCCUCAGCUGAGAUGUGCCAGGAGUGGGUGAAGGCACUCGGUGGGGGCAGGGCCAGCAAGUCUGGUACCACAGAAGGGACUUUAUCCAGAAAGCCAUGGGCCCUCUCCAGGGGUCUGAUGUGAGCCUGCAGGAGGGGACCACAGGGGAAGAGAGAAGCUGGGAGAUGGGUCAAGGAGUAAGGGAGGCUGGAAAGGAGCCAGUGGGGACCAAUGGAGUGGUGGCGAGGAGGUGGCUGAGCCACUGACCCAACAGAAACAAGAGGGAGAAGGGGGCAAGAAAGCAAAGGAGAAAGCAGGGAAAGGGAAAGUGAGGCAAGAAGAGAGGCACCCAGAGAGAGGGAGAUGCUGAGUGAGGAGAGACCCAGAGAAUGGACAGAGGGACAGGGGAGAGGAAGGAGGAGGAACAUAGGUAGUAGCAGAGAAAGCAGGAGGCAGAGAGGGAGUGAGGGGGAGGGAGAAAGAUCUAGGCCAUAGCCAAGCAAAGGAGUGAGAGGCCAGAGGACUUCCCCCAGUCCUUACUGGCCUAGACCUUCCCCUGCCGGUGCCCCCCAUGCCCUGCACCCCAAGCCCAGUCCUCGCUGGCUGGGGAGGGCGGGGGGGGCUAGUCUGUUCUCCAGCUCACAGAGGAGGAAAUGGGGAUGAUCUGGUUGGAGAUAAGCAACAACUUUUUUUUUUUAAUUUUUUAAAUGUUUGUUUACUUAUUUUGAGAGAGACAGAGAGAGCAGGGGAGGGGCAGAGAGAGGGAGAGAGAAUCCCAAGCAGGCUCUGCGCUCUCGGCACAGAGCCCUACGUGGGGCUCCAUAUCACGUACUGUGAGGUCAUGACCUGAGCCAAAAUCAAGAGUCUGUUGCUUAACCGCAGGCACCCGAAUAAGCAGGAACUUCUUGAUUACACAACAGAGCAGGCCCACAAGGGAAGUGGUCCCCUCAUUGGGCCCCUGGCCUCCCCGAGGCAGGGGAUUGGUCACCAUGACCCCUCAAAAGACAUGGACUGAAUCGUGUUCCUCUGGGUUGACAGGACCCAGUUGUGGAGGACGAUGGUUUUCAGAUUGUCUGCCUCGGUUUCCCUCAAUGAGGCAGAGAUGUAUUUAGGAGCCUGGGUUCGAUGAUGGGGUGGGGGCAGGGGCUCUGGAGCCAAAGCUGGGCUGGUGACGUGACUGUGUGUGCAUCCAGGUGGCCUUGGGACCUUCUCCUCUCCACCCCAAGCCUUCAUUCCAGGAAAAGGGAGAGGGGUGGAGGGCAGGACUCCACUGAGUGUUUCCAGGGAAAAACUGAUUCUUCCAGAGAACAGGCGGCCACGCCACCUCCCCUCCCCCCUUCCCCCCUCCACUCCCUCCCUUUCUGGCAGAAGGAGCCCAGCAGCUGGAAAAACCAUGCUCUGCUCCGGGCUCCCACCCUUAGCUCGGCUGAGCCCAGGCAGUCCUGCAGAGGGUGUGUGUGUGUGUGUGUGUGUGUGUGUGUGUGUGUGUGUGUGAACUUAUGGUGCAGCCCAAGUACAGGUGGGAAAUGGAGGAGCCUGGCCGUCAUCACCUGCAACCACAGGGUGGGAGAGGCAGGGUGCGUCAGUAGGGGAGAGAACCGAGCCUGAGCUCAUUCCCCAGAGCUUCAGUUUUGUCAUCUGAGAUGUGAGUGUGACACUUGCCCUGCUUCCCUAAUAGGGGCUGGCGUGAGGAUCACAGAAGCCAAGGUGGGAAGAGCAGGAACAUGUCCCUGAGCUCCCUGGACACCCGUCGUCCUCACACCAACCCUUGAGGCAGGUGCUAUUACUGUCCCCAUUUGCCAGUGAGGGUCCUGAGGCCCUGGGGGGUUCUAGUGUCUAAGGUUGCAAAGCACAUCUGAGGCAGAGCCGGGAUUGCAGCUUCCUGCCUGGUGGUCUAGGCGGUGGCUUUUCUCUCUUCCUUCCUCCAAGCAUGAACUGAACGAGUUCCUGGAGGGGCUAUCAGCACAGGCAUACUCCCCUUCCUCUCUGUCUUCUGCCUGGCCCAAACCCUACCACAAUUUCCCUGCCUUCCCCAGAUAGGUCACUCAGUGAGCUAGGGAUGCUGAGUGAGGCUUCUGGACACCCCUCCAGCCCCCACCCCGUUUCUGGGCAUGGACCCCUCCUCCUAUAGGCUGCUCAAAGGGACCCAGUCCUUCCUCAGACCCUCUCUCUGCACCCUGACUCCCUGUCCUCAGUGUAAACACCAUUGCCUUGUGGCUGGAUGACCUCGGUCCCGGAGAUCAGCCCCUGGGUUGGUCAGGCUGGAGACCCAACCACCACCACCAGGGGGCAGGAAGCAGCAAGAAUGGUGACCACUCCCCAGAAUCACCUUUUCCCUGAUCAGUUCACAACUCCCCUUCUCCAGACACCUGUUCAUCCUUAUCUCCUCCUCCCUCCAUACUGAUAUGCUGCCCAAAUUGUGGAGUUGGGGUACCCUAGGAAUAAGUAUGGAAUCAUGGUUUUGCUUUUAUUUGUCACCUCGAGCAAGUGAUACUACCUCUUAGGAACCCCAUUUUCUCUAUUUGUGAGACAGGUACUUAUCCAUUCAUUCACAUCCACCCAUUCAUCCAUCCAUCCACCCGCUCACCCACCCAUCUACCCAACUACCCAUCCAUCCAUCCAUUCAUAUGUAUGGAAUGCCAGGUCCUGGUACAGGUUGUGGAGUACUAAAUGACUGCAUGAAGUAUAGAUUUGUUAUCAUUUAGCCCCUAUUUCCAUAAUUAACCAUAUUUCUGAACAUCAGAGACCUUGAUUUCCAAUGAGCACAGUAAGCAUAGAAAGGCAAAGCUUAGGCCAAUACAUAUACUCACUUAGCAUCAUGCAGACUGUCAGCGGUGGCCACCCACCCAAGCCCAUGAUAACCCACCAGCACCACACUGAGGGUAUCAGAGGACUGGCUGUUGGGACAUUGCUGCCACCACCCGACACAGGCCAUCAAGACCAUCAGGACCAUCAGCACGGCCCCUACAACCCAGGCAGGCCAGCCUCACAACCUUAUACCACCGUGGCACGUCUGUCUUUGUGGAGGUAUGGUUGUAAAAUGGGGUGACCUAAAAAAACUCGUUUUUGAAAGGCUAUUUUGAAGCUUCCAAUAUUUAGGCCCUUGCACAAACUAUCUUCUAUCAUGUAAAUCUCAAAGUUGUCUUUAGGGUAGGGAGUAGAGCUGAGAGGCCCCUUGGCUGGGCUGUGGGCAAGUCUGACGAGGCUUCCAGGAGAAGGAGGCAUUUAGGAUCCUGCUUGCCAGUCUAGAGGGGACUUGUAUAGGGAUGAUGUCCAAGCCAGAGAGAGGAGCAGAAGGUGGACAGAGCUGGGGACAAGUCCAGAGCAUCCUCUACACGGAGGCCUAUGGCCUUCCCAGAGCAUGCUUGACAUACAGCCAGGCUGAGAAACACAACCAUGGGGAGGGAGGUGGGACGCAACCAGGAGAUGGGGCCCAGGGGCAUAGUCACCGGGCCUGCUGGGAAGGCCUCGGGGCUGGGGGUGGCCCCCACCAACCGGGCUCAGGCCGUGGACUCAACCAGUAUCAGUCCUGAAACUGCUGCCCUCCCUGGGCUCAGCUUAGUCUGUCAGAUGCUAAGUUCUCUCUGGAGCCCAGUUCUGAGCUCUGCGAUACCUCAAAUGCCACACCUGCCCUGGAGCGCUCACACAUGGCAUGGGUGCUGGACACUCCCUGAGGCAGGUGCUGCUCGUGUCCACCCAGGUCCCAAGGCUGGUGCCCCUUCCCUCAGCUGCUAUGCUGUUGGCUGCUCUCUGCUCACCCCCAUCCAGAGGCUGCCCUUGGCUGAUGGGCACCACAUUACCUGGAGAUGCCCAGGAGGUUAUAAGCAAUGACUGACAUGGGCGUAUAGCAGCCCAGGCCCCGUGUCUCUGAAGUCCACAACAUCUUUGGUGCCAUUCAUGCUCUAGAGUUCCUCGGGGGAUCGGGUUGAGGCAAGCUUUCUCCCGAAACCACGUCUCACUCAGCUUCCUCUUCUGCCCUAUUCUGCUUCCCUCCCUUUCCUGUGGAUGGAGGCUCUCAGUAAGCCACUUGCACAAGAAAUCCUCCCUCAGGCUCUGCUUCUAGAGAGGUUGACUUAAGAUACCCACAAAACUGAUCUGGUGGCCUCUCCUUUAGAAUGGGGUAUCAAGGUUUCGUGGGGGGGGUGUGGCCCAGUCUUGGGCCAUAGGAGAGCCCUCCGGAAGAUGUGACCUUUGAAAUGGACCUUUGAAAUGGAGGUUGAGUAAGAACUGUUGAACUGAACAGCUAACUGGGGCUGAAUGCUCCAUUUGAUAUAUCUUGCUCAGGGUGAGGGAGGGUGUGAGAGGCCAGAGGAACAAUACCAGCAAAGGCCCUGAGACAGAAAAAGGCGGGACGUGUUCCUAGGAGAGAGGACCUGUGGCUGGAGGGGAGGAGCAUGGAAGGGAGGUAGGAGAUGAGACUAGAAGGGAAGUUGGGCCACAGCAGAGGGUUGCUGUCACCAGGCGGUAAGCCCAAGUCAUUCAGCACCACACUGUGAAUGGACUGUCAUACUCUCUCUUGCUGAAUCCAGAUACAGCCUCACAAUCCUCACCCUGCACCUGGCAGGCUCUAUCAAUCUACUGAAUUAGCAUUUGAGGUGACACCCAUUUUCUGUCCUUGCCCCAGAGCAAGCCCAGGCUGGGUCUGUGAUGUGACAAAUGGGCCAAGUCCAGAGGCCUGGAGAGGAUGGGCUCAAGUACAGUAGAGGCCUCCCCAGGGAAGCAGCCAUUGUGGCCCAUAAAUAGGUUAGGCGGUCAGGAAACGGGAAAUCCUGACAACACAAUGAGGCCUGGGGCACAGGGGUUUCCUCCAGGCUGAGGGCUGGACGGAGGCUGCUUCUUGGGCCAAAAGCCUUGCUGAAGCAGGACUCCUUGACUGUUGGUUCCAGAUGCCUGGCUCUUCCCACAGUCCUCAGGGGGACUCAGGGCCCAGCCUCACCCAACCCGGCCUAGACAGGGCAGCUGAGGACAGACAGGACAAGCCAGGACAGGCAGCAGAACCCUGAGGGAGAGGCAUAAUGGGCUCGGCUCUGGGCUGAGCCCCGCAGUGGGUGGUGGGGGGCUGUGAGGCAGCCAGGCCAGGGGCCAGGGGAAUGGGGUGGCCCCAGAAUCAAUGGGUGCCCGUGCCAGGCCCUCUGAUCCCUAGGAGCCUGCACACCUCUAACAUCUGUGUUGGUGGACCUGUCCAUGCCCUGGGUUCCCCAAGGGUGUAGCAAUACCAGGCUGACCCUACCUGGACCCCAACGAUGGAGAAAUAAUGUGGGCCCUCAUUAAAGAAACAGGCAACCUGUAAAACCACGUCCCAGAAGAAUUUUAAGAAAAUCAAGUCAUAAAACACAAUGCCCUAUAUGAUCUCUAUUUUGUUAAAAAGCACACAAACAUAAAAAUCUCUGUGAAUGUGUGUGUGUGUGCACAGAAGAGACGGGGAAGGGCCAACAACAUGUCUAAGUGGUAGGUUUUCAGAGGAUCUUAUUUUCUUCUCUGUUCUUUUUCUGUAUAUCCUAAUUUUUCUACAAUGAACUUUGUAAUCAUAAAGAAAAACAAAAAACAAAAAACACAACACCCAAAUCCGACAAUGCCUCUUUUCUUUUAAGUACAAUGUUUACAAAGACUGUUUAAAGAAGUUGGGGAAUGUUGAUAAUCUAAUGCUGAGUAGAAAACAGGAUACAACAUUGUAUACAUUGUAUGUAAAGGACGAGCCACUCGGGGACAGGAAGGAAGCUCACAGGGCAUCCAGGCCAACGGCUUUGGCAGGGGCACUGUCAUAGUCCCGUCCAUCUACAGUAUAUGAGAAUCCCCACACCCUCGCAUACACUGGGUGUCACUAGUCUUGAACAUUUUUGCAAUCCAGUGCUUGGAAGACAGUCUCAUUGUAAUUUGAUCCGAUAGGUGAAGGAUUGAGUGUCAUAAUCUGCACAUCUCUGAUCACUGAGCCUCUUUUUGCCCCCUAAAACAUUUUAUUAAGAAAAUUUCAGCAUACAGAAAAGUAGGAGGAAUUGUACAGCGAACACCCACUUACCCACCACGUAGUCCUACAAUUAACAUUUUACCAGGCUUGCUUUAGCACAUAUUGAUCUAUUCAUCCAUCAAUUCUUAUUUUGGGGGGCACAUUUCAGAGUAAGUUACAGGCAUCAGUACACUUCCUCCCUAAACACUGGAGCAUGCAUAUCAUUACCUGGAGUUCAAUAUUUGCUUAGGAUUCUUUUUUUUUUUCUGCUUUCUGUAAAAUGCUCAUAGGGUAAUGCAAAAAUCGUAAGUGUAUCAUUUGAUUAGUUGUGACAAUGCAUACAUUUGUGUAACCCAGAUCUCUAUCAUGAUAUAGAAUGCAACCCCCAGAAAAUUCCCUUUCGUGCCUAACUAGUCAAUCUCUGCCCCCAUCCUCCAGAGGCAACCACGGUAUUUACAUUUCCACCACAGAUUAGUUUUGUCUAUUCUGGAACUUCCUAUCAAUGGGACCCUAAAGUUUGUACUUGCUUGUGUCUGACUUCUUUCAUCUCAUAUUAUUUCUGUGAGAUUUAUCUAGGUCAUUGCAAUAGUUAAUUGUUGAGUGGUGUUGAAUAAAUUCAGCAUAUAUUGCUUUAUUAUUGAAUAGCAUAUUCAAUAUCCAUUGUAUGACUAUCCAAAUAUAUAUUCUCUUAUUGAUGAAUACCUGGGCUGCUGACAUUUUUGUUUAUGAAUAUAGCUGCUAUAAACAUUCAUAUGCAA